ensembl:lncRNA
GGAGACUAGUGUAGGUCAGUAGACUAGUGUAGGAGAGGAGACUAGUGUAGGACAGUAGACUAGUGUAGGAGAGUAGACUAGUGUUGGACAGUAGACUAGUUUAGGACAGUAGCCUAGUGUAGGACAGUAGACUAGUUUUGGAGAGUAGACUAGUAUAGGACAGUAGACUAGUAUAGGACAGUAGACUAGUGUAGGAGAGGAGACUAGUGUUGGUCAGUAGACUAGUGUAGGAGAGGAGACUAGUGUAGGUCAGUAGACUAGUGUAGGAGAGUAGACUAGUAUAGGUCAGUAGACUAGUGUAGGACAGUAGACUAGUGUAGGACAGUAGACUAGUGUAGGACAGUAGACUAGUGUAGGAC